UAAUUUUGAAAAUAUUUCUAAAUUCAAAUUAUAUAUUGUUCAUAUUGAAUUCUAAAACCAAUUAUAUAGUGAUCAUUAUAAACUCCGUAGUAUAGCUUAAGGCAUACAUGUAACUUCAUUGUGAAUAUUUUAGGAUGAAAAGUGUUUCAAAUAAUAGUGUUCGUUUUUAAACAUGUUAAAAUUAGUAAAUAAUUUAAACUAGUUUGUGAAAUUUCACCAAGGUACAAACAUAGUGUUUCGGCACGUACCGACAUGUAAAGUAAUGAAUUUAUCAAUACUUGUACCUUUAUUAAAGAUUAGCUAUGUUUUAACAUUUUAACAUUUUCAUCUGUAUAUAUUUCUAGAAUUUAGUGCUUGUGCUUAAUAAAGCGGACUUAUCUUGCUCGAAAUCCCACUGCCACCUCAUCGUUGGUGAGCAGGGGACUUAGACUAACGGAAUGAGUACUUAUUCUUGUAAAUAAUUGAACAAGUUAUAAAUAAAUAAGUAUUAAUAUCUGUAUUUUACUUGAGUUUACCUGUCAAAAAAUGCGCACAAUUGUUAUCAAAAGCUGCGCGCAAACGUAAUGAUUUUUGCGCGCAAAUGUAAUGGUAAUGCGCGCAAACGUAAUGCACCG
rnacentral:lncRNA from 1 species